rnacentral:rRNA from 1 species
GAUGAACGCUGGCGGCGUGCCUAACACAUGCUUUUCGAACGGUUAAACCGCCCUCGGGCGGACAUACAGUGGCGAACGGGUGAGUAACACGUGACCAACCUGCCCCGCGCUCCGGGACAACCGCUGGAAACGGCGGCUAAUACCGGAUACUCCGCGGCCCCCGCAUGGGGGCGGCGGGAAAGCCCCGACGGCGCGGGAUGGGGUCGCGGCCCAUUAGGUAGUAGGCGGGGUAGAGGCCCACCUAGCCGACGAUGGGUAGCCGGACUGAGAGGUCGAUCGGCCACAUUGGGACUGAGAUACGGCCCAGACUCCUACGGGAGGCAGCAGUGGGGAAUUUUGCGCAAUGGGGGAAACCCUGACGCAGCAACGCCGCGUGCGGGACGAAGGCCCUCGGGUCGUAAACCGCUUUCAGCAGGGAAGACCACGACGGUACCUGCAGAAGAAGCUCCGGCUAACUACGUGCCAGCAGCCGCGGUAAUACGUAGGGGGCGAGCGUUAUCCGGAUUCAUUGGGCGUAAAGCGCGCGUAGGCGGCCGCCUAAGCGGAACCUCUAACCCCGGGGCUCAACCUCGGGCCGGGUUCCGGACUGGGCGGCUCGAGUGCGGUAGAGGAGAGCGGAAUUCCCGGUGUAGCGGUGGAAUGCGCAGAUAUCGGGAAGAACACCGAUGGCGAAGGCAGCUCUCUGGGCCGUCACUGACGCUGAGGCGCGAAAGCUGGGGGAGCGAACAGGAUUAGAUACCCUGGUAGUCCCAGCCGUAAACGAUGGAUACUAGGUGUGGGGGGAUCCCCCCUCCGUGCCGCAGCCAACGCAUUAAGUAUCCCGCCUGGGGAGUACGGCCGCAAGGCUAAAACUCAAAGGAAUUGACGGGGGCCCGCACAAGCAGCGGAGCAUGUGGCUUAAUUCGAAGCAACGCGAAGAACCUUACCAGGGCUUGACAUGCGCCUGAAGCCGCGGAGACGCGGUGGCCGAGAGGAGGGCGCGCAGGUGGUGCAUGGCUGUCGUCAGCUCGUGUCGUGAGAUGUUGGGUUAAGUCCCGCAACGAGCGCAACCCCCGUCCCGUGUUGCCAGCAUUAGGUUGGGGACUCGCGGGAGACUGCCGGCGUCAAGCCGGAGGAAGGUGGGGACGACGUCAAGUCAUCAUGCCCCUUAUGCCCUGGGCUGCACACGUGCUACAAUGGCCGGUACAGAGGGUUGCCACCCCGCGAGGGGGAGCGGAUCCCGGAAAGCCGGCCCCAGUUCGGAUCGCAGGCUGCAACCCGCCUGCGUGAAGCCGGAGUUACUAGUAAUCGCGGAUCAGCACGCCGCGGUGAAUACG